AGAGUUUGAUCCUGGCUCAGGAUGAACGCUAGCUACAGGCUUAACACAUGCAAGUCGAGGGGAAACGGCAUUUUAGCUUGCUAAGAUGGACGUCGACCGGCGAAUGGGUGAGUAACGCGUAUCCAACCUUCCGUUAAGUAGGGAACAGCCCGGCGAAAGUCGGAUUAAUACCCUAUGUUCUUCGUCGAUGACAUCUGAAGUGAAGCAAAGGUUUACCGCUAAGGGAUGGGGAUGCGUCUGAUUAGGUAGUAGGCGGGGUAACGGCCCACCAAGGCAACGAUCAGUAGGGGUUCUGAGAGGAAGGUCCCCCACAUUGGUACUGAGACACGGACCAAACUCCUACGGGAGGCAGCAGUGAGGAAUAUUGGUCAAUGGGCGCGAGCCUGAACCAGCCAAGUAGCGUGCAGGAAGACGGCCCUAUGGGUUGUAAACUGCUUUUAUACAGGGAUAAAGUGCGCCACGUGUGGUGUAUUGCAGGUACUGUAUGAAUAAGGACCGGCUAAUUCCGUGCCAGCAGCCGCGGUAAUACGGAAGGUCCGGGCGUUAUCCGGAUUUAUUGGGUUUAAAGGGAGCGCAGGCUGAUUAUUAAGCGUGACGUGAAAUGUAGCCGCUCAACGGCUGAACUGCGUCGCGAACUGGUAGUCUUGAGUGAGUUCGAUGUAGGCGGAAUUCGUGGUGUAGCGGUGAAAUGCUUAGAUAUCACGAAGAACUCCGAUUGCGAAGGCAGCCUACAAGGCCUUUACUGACGCUAAAGCUCGAAGGUGCGGGUAUCGAACAGGAUUAGAUACCCUGGUAGUCCGCACGGUAAACGAUGGAUGCCCGCUGUUUGCGAUAUACAGUAAGCGGCCAAGCGAAAGCGUUAAGCAUCCCACCUGGGGAGUACGCCGGCAACGGUGAAACUCAAAGGAAUUGACGGGGGCCCGCACAAGCGGAGGAACAUGUGGUUUAAUUCGAUGAUACGCGAGGAACCUUACCCGGGCUUGAAUUGCUGAGGAAAGAUCCAGAGAUGGUGAUCNUCGGGGCCUCAGUGAAGGUGCUGCAUGGUUGUCGUCAGCUCGUGCC
rnacentral:rRNA from 1 species